rnacentral:rRNA from 1 species
CACAUGCAGUCGAGCGGAACGAGUUAUCUGAACCUUCGGGGAACGAUAACGGCGUCGAGCGGCGGACGGGUGAGUAAUGCCUACGAAAUUGCCCUGAUGUGGGGGAUAACCAUUGGAAACGAUGGCUAAUACCGCAUAAUGCCUACGGGCCAAAGAGGGGGACCUUCGGGCCUCUCGCGUCAAGAUAUGCCUAGGUGGGAUUAGCUAGUUGGUGAGGUAAUGGCUCACCAAGGCGACUAUCCCUAGCUGGUCUGAGAGGAUGAUCAGCCACACUGGAACUGAGACACGGUCCAGACUCCUACGGGAGGCAGCAUUGGGGAAUAUUGCACAAUGGGCGCAAGCCUGAUGCAGCCAUGCCGCGUGUGUGAAGAAGGCCUUCGGGUUGUAAAGCACUUUCAGUCGGAGGAAGGUGGUGUAGUUAAUAACUGCAUUACUUGACGUUAGCGACAGAAGAAGCACCGGCUAACUCCGUGCCAGCAGCCGCGGUAAUACGGAGGGUGCGAGCGUUAAUCGGAAUUACUGGGCGUAAAGCGCAUGCGGGUGGUUUGUUAAGUCAGAUGUGAAAGCCCGGGGCUCAACCUCGGAAUAGCAUUUGAAACUGGCGGACUAGAGUACUGUAGAGGGGGGUAGAAUUUCAUGUGUAGCGGUGAAAUGCGUAGAGACUGAAGGAAUACCGGUGGCGAAUGCGGCCCCCUGGACAGAUACUGACACUCACAUGCGAAAGCGUGGGGAGCAAACAGGAUUAUAUACCCUGGUAGUCCACGCCGUACACGAUGUCUACUUGGAGGUUGUGGCCUUGAGCCGUGGCUUUCGGAGCUAACGCGUUAAGUAGACCGCCUGGGGAGUACGGUCGCAAGAUUAAACUCAGAUGACUUGACGGCGCCCGCACGAGCGGUGGAGCAUGUGGUUUAAUUCGAUGCACGCGACACCUUACCUACUCUUGACAUCCAGAGACUUUCAGAGAUG